ACGGCUGGGGGCGGGACAUGGGACGAUUUUUGGGCGGAAGAAGGAAGUAGAGCGCCUUUUCCCAUUAUUCUCAAUGGUGGGCUUGAAGCCAUAUACCUCCUUGCCAAUUCUUGCCAAGUCGGCUCUGUUUCGUUCCUACGAUAGUUGCCCCUCCCUUCCAAACAGCCCAGAUAUUUUUUUCAGGCUGACCCUGUAUUUGAGAGAGCUAUUAAAAUAGUUUAAAUGACCAAUGAGCAUGGCUAUUUGGGUUGAUUGGCAGUUGACAUUCUUUAGAAUUAUUGUUUUGAUUGACAGGCAGGCCGUCGUCAAGGCGAAGGACGACUCUCGCGCCGUCUCCAGGGGAAGCUCCCUCCCUGCUGCAUUACUUUCAACAGCUUCAUCACUGCCAUGGGUUAUUUAAUUUUGGUACACUUUCCCCACAAAUAUGCGUUGUUGUACUUUUGGAUGUACUUCUCCGUAUUCUGUAAGGACCUCUGCAGUUUUGGUGUUUUGCCCCUGCGGUUGUGAGGAGGAUGCUGUGUAGGUGGCAGCGUGAACGUGUCACACAGACAUUGGCUAAACUACUCGGCUUCUACACUUGCCCUCAGAGUUCACAUAUGGUUAAGUGCACAGGUGUCCAUCCAGGUUCAGACUGAUGCUGGUAACAAGAGGAAAACAUGCUGAUUGGCAAACAACAAACCACACUUCACCUGGAAAACAGAGCCAGGACUCACUGUCAGAUGUCUGCAAAUGUACAGUAGGCUACACGCCAGCAGGUCUCACCAUAGUCAGCAUCAUCAAGGAUUGUCACUCCGACCUGAGAAGAGGCCCCAUAGAGACACGGACAAGGACCAGCCACUGUUGCCAGUGCACAACUGAGGACCCGACCAGCCUGCUGCCAUCUAUGAUACUAUAUAGUACCCGCGAAGCGGUCUGAAGACGUGGAGUACACUGCAGCAGGUAUCACAUGACCAAGGACUUGGACAACGUCUCUGCUUACAUCUAUAGUGUAUUACACAACUGAAGAUGUACAGUACGCUGCUGCCUGCAUCCUGCCACCACAGAGGAUCCGAUAUGCAGAACCAGCUUCAAAAACCAUUGCAAUUAUGAAACACAGUUAAUAAAUGCUUAUAUACAGCAGCCCACACAU